UGCAAGUCGAGCGGUAACAGGAGUAGCUUGCUACUCGCUGACGAGCGGCGGACGGGUGAGUAACGCGUAGGAAUCUGCCUAAUAGUUGGGGAUAGCCCGGGGAAACCCGGAUUAAUACCGAAUACGCUCUACGGAGGAAAGCAGGGGAUCUUCGGACCUUGCGCUAUUAGAUGAGCCUGCGUGAGAUUAGCUAGUUGGUGAGGUAAAGGCUCACCAAGGCGACGAUCUCUAGCUGGUCUGAGAGGAUGAUCAGCCACACUGGGACUGAGACACGGCCCAGACUCCUACGGGAGGCAGCAGUGGGGAAUAUUGCACAAUGGGCGCAAGCCUGACGCAGCCAUACCGUGUGUGUGAAGAAGGCCUUAGGGUUGUAAAGCACUUUCAGUCGUGAGGAAAGGUUAGUAGUUAAUACCUGCUAGCUGUGACGUUAGCGACAGAAGAAGCACCGGCUAAUUCCGUGCCAGCAGCCGCGGUAAUACGGAAGGUGCGAGCGUUAAUCGGAAUUACUGGGCGUAAAGCGCGCGUAGGUGGUUCAGUCAGUCAGAUGUGAAAGCCCCGGGCUCAACCUGGGAACUGCACCUGAUACUGCUGGACUUGAGUACGGUAGAGGGUAGUGGUAUUUCCUGUGUAGCGGUGAAAUGCGUAGAUAUAGGAAGGAACACCAGUGGCGAAGGCGACUACCUGGACCGAUACUGACACUGAGGUGCGAAAGCGUGGGGAGCAAACAGGAUUAGAUACCCUGGUAGUCCACGCCGUAAACGAUGUCUACUAGCCGUUGGGGGACUUGAUCCUUUAGUGGCGCAGCUAACGCGAUAAGUAGACCGCCUGGGGAGUACGGCCGCAAGGUUAAAACUCAAAUGAAUUGACGGGGGCCCGCACAAGCGGUGG
rnacentral:rRNA from 1 species